UGGGGAAUUUUGGACAAUGGGCGAAAGCCUGAUCCAGCAAUGCCGCGUGUGUGAAGAAGGCCUUCGGGUUGUAAAGCACUUUUGUCCGGAAAGAAAUGGCUCUGGUUAAUACCUGGGGUCGAUGACGGUACCGGAAGAAUAAGGACCGGCUAACUACGUGCCAGCAGCCGCGGCAAUACGUAGGGUCCAAGCGUUAAUCGGAAUUACUGGGCGUAAAGCGUGAGCAGGCGGUUGUGCAAGACCGAUGUGAAAUCCCCGAGCUUAACUUGGGAAUUGGAUUGGUGACUGCACGGCUGGAGGGUGUCAGAGGGGGGUAGAAUUCCACGUGUAGCAGUGAAAUGCGUAGAGAUGUGGAGGAAUACCGAUGGCGAAGGCAGCCCCCUGGGAUAACACUGACGAUCAUGCACGAAAGCGUGGGGAGCAAACAGG
rnacentral:rRNA from 1 species